rnacentral:lncRNA from 1 species
UGGCCUGGAUAAUUGGCUUUCAUCAUCAUGAUAUUUGCCUUCACGUGGAAUGACAUGCUUCAUGAUGAACGAGCAGAUGUCCUCAACUAUGUUGUCUAAAGCACGUUCGUCCAUGCGCUCCGUCGUCCCUUGCUUAUAUACCUGCAAAGAAAGUUUAUAAACAUUAUAUAUUUUAUGACUUCCAACUUUAAUAGACUAUUACUUAUAUUACCUUGU